CCUCACGCAGACUAGGUACAGUUAGUAAAGUGUCAAUUCCUACGAAAGAAAUACUAAUAUUUACAUUAAUCUCCACUCAAGUUACUUUUCUUACUGGAGUUAAGUUCCAGAAACUCUUUUUACAUUUUUGGACGAAAAGGGUUUUAGAAAAUGAAGGUGAAACGGAGUAAAUCCUUGUCACCUGAUCCAUCGAGCAGUGGAAAUUCGAAACGGGCAAAAAUAAAGGAUGAUUCAAAAGAUGGAACUGCAGUGCAACCCAACUUAUUGAAUUUCUCUGACGACGUUUUGCUCAUGAUUAUAAAGUAUCUUGAUUCUUUUGACACGAUGAAUCUAAGCAUGUGCUGUCAGCGUUUAGACCGAGUUACGCGAGAUAGAACUCUAUGGGAUGUCAUGGAUUAUCGUGCAAGAGCAAUGUCAGUAGCAGAAUUAAAAAAAUACACGAAAUUUUUUCAACCUUCAGUGAAAACUUUUGCUAUACGUGGAAAAUCGGAAUGGAAUAAUUAUUCAGAGUUUAACAAGAAUUUUCUUGACAUAAUAAUGGAAACAUGCACGCAUCUGAAGGAAUUAAUAAUAGAGGAGUUUUAUAUCAACGGAAUGGAAAUCCAAGUAUCAGACUUUCCUUCAAGCCUGGAAAAACUUUCCUUGAAAGGCUGCGACGUGUUUAACAUAGAACAAAAGAAAUCCUAUUUUUUUCAAGCACAGGAGCACAUGCCUAAUCUCACGGUUGUGCGGGCAGAAGAUUUUGAUUUUCAAGAUAUGGAACGAUACUUGGUUACAGAUAGAGCUAUUUGCUCAUUAGGUAGUUAUGUUUGUGAACGCAGAAUUGUGGACAAUAAUCGGGGAGGCAUCAUUCGGAUUGAAGAAGAUAGUCGAAUUUGCAACAAUCCUAAUUUGAAGACGCUGGUAGUUAGGAGUAAAACGGAAAAAUGCUCAUGCACCAGCCACAUUCGAACCUUGGGACUACGAGUCCAAUAUAUCCACAAGGAACGAAGGUGAGAGUGGGACUUACCGCAAGAGGCACCUACCCACUAAAACCUAACUCUUUUCCUGCCAACCGAUGUUCCCGGAACCCGCUUUCGCAUUACUUCAGGAACAUGGGGGUAAGGCUACUACGCCGAGCUUCGGCGUCCAUCUGUAUAAUCUCUGUCGACUGGAAGACUUCCCCAACGGGAUUGUCUCCCUGAAUGACACGUCCUCUAAAUCUGAAUCAUUUCUGAUCACUAAUAUUUCAUCUACAACUACCCACCCCAUAUAGUGUGGCACGCGUCAACUUCAGUUGUGUUAUAUACUUAAAACUUCGGGUUGUCGGCCUUCGGUCACCGCCCCUGAAGAUAGCAUGUCAAUUUGUGGUAAGAGUAGAACAAAAAGGUAAAAUGUAUGCUCUAGAUGGAGUCAUAGUAAAAUUCGAAAAAUCAGGUUGGAUAGUUUUAGGUUUACCAUCGUCAACAAAAACAGACCUUGUACGAAGGGUUGACAACUUCUCGCACGAUGAGGGUACAACAUGGACAAUAUAAUACGAGGAUGUAUUCCAAGGAAUAGAGGAAAUAAAAGACAUUACCCUCAAGUCACAGAUCGAAGUCUUCAUCAUCUAGCUGUAAGUAAAUUGAAUCUCGAAUUUGU